rnacentral:rRNA from 1 species
AGAGACCUCAAGCGUUAUCCGGAAUCAUUGGGCGUAAAGCGUACCGAUAGGUGGUUAUACAAGUCAGAAGUGAAAUCUUCGAGCUUAACUCGAAAUCUGUCUUUUGAAACUGUAUGACUAGAGGAGCAAAGAGGAAGCUGGAACGAACGGUGUAGUAGUGAAAUGCGUUGAUAUCGUUCGGAACACCAAUAGCGUAGGCAGGCUUCUGGGUGCUACCUGACACUGCUAGGACGAAAGCGUGGGGAGCGAUAAGGAUUAGAUACCCUUGUAGUCCACGCUGCAAACGAUGAUGAUUAGGUGCUAGGGAGUAUCGACCCUUCUUAGUACCAUAGCUAACGCGUUAAAUCAUCCGCCUGGGGAGUACGGCCGCAAGGCUA